rnacentral:lncRNA from 10 species
CGCCAUCCUCUGCUGUGUUUAAUGCCUGGGUGCUGCCCACACACUGGUGGUGCCCAGCCCCCGUGCCCCUGCUCCACCUCUGUGAGUGUGAAAGUGUCAGGAGUUGGCUGUUCCAGACCCAGUGAGGUGGUGAAGCUGACUCAGCUGCCAGAGGGAAGACAGGAGGCUACUCAGAGAGAGCCACUGUGGCUUCUCUGGGCCCAUCGGGGCUGUAGUUGUGUCAGCCCUGCUGGAAACAGGCUGGAUCUGGCCACACUCAUUCUGUGAAACACCCGGUGGGGUUCUGCAACCAACAGCCUCGUCCCCGGCAUCCUGCAUUCCUAGCUGCUUCCCAGAGCUGCCACCCUGGGACCUCAGUGGCCUGAGUGGGUAAAAGCCACAGCUGUGCCUGAUUCUGCGGCUCCUGGGCUACACGUUCCUCUAGCCCCAUGUGUCUCCUCUCAUGCUGCCCAGCAUUCCAUCCUCACCACGUGCUUGGGGUUUUGCUAGGGCAGCUCGCCACUCCUGGGGUGGAUUUCUGUAUCCCUGCAGAGCCGGCUCGCCUACAAUCAGAGCCCCACAUGCCUGUUGUGGCUGUUUCUCCCGUGGAGUCGUCCAGGGCCCAGCUCCUGCUGUCUGGCUCUGCUCAUGGCCACUGCAGAUGCUGAAUUCAAAAGAAGAGGGCAGGGAAGCUGUGUGGGGUGCUCAGCUGUGAGGAUGACCUCACAGGGCCACAGAACCUAGUGGGGUAGGGCAACACAGCCCCACCGUGUGCCUGGGAGCAGGAGGAAAGCUGGGGGGCAUCUGGCAGUUCCUACCACAGAAGCCACGGCUGCUCAGUUGGGGAGUGGAGCAGCCGGGAGUCAAACAGUGCUUGCCUGACGUCCAGACCCCGCUGUAGUCACCAGCCGUGCGAGAGCACAGCAGCCAGGGUCCUGCUCUCAACAUGUAGCCUGCUCUGGCCACUGCAGGCAGCCGAACAAAAUGCAGGGGCCAGGCUUUCUGCUGAGGACUUUGAUUCAACAGAUGCACCUUUAACAAGCCACUAAGUUCUGUGGACUGCUUUGCAGGGGCAGGAUUUGGUGAGGAAGCAAAAUAAUGACUUUACACAGAAGCCUGUUCUCUAGGAGGUCCUGAGUCAUUUACAUCGGUGACCUGGGGCAGCAGUCAGGCUGCGGGAGCACAACCCAGGCAAAGCACCUGCUGAGGAAGGGCCCAGCAUCCUGCAGAAGCUCCUACCACGUGUGGGGCGCCUGGCCCUUGCCUUGGCGUUUCUUAUCUUUUACUUACAUCUGUGAUUUCAGAGCCUCCCAGUGUCCUAAGACCUUGCUUACAGGGCUUUGGGCUAGUUCCAACAUUCCUGGGGCUCGAUGGGAAGCUCAGCACCAGACAGCCACGCUUGGGCACGUUCAGACCCUCAGCCAGCACGGGCCAUGUUCUUCGGAGAGGAGGCCUGCUUGAGAUACAGCUUCCGUUACAGUGCGGUGGGCAGGUGGGCCUCACUGAAGACCACGGUCCAUGCUGCUGAGGUCAUGAAUGUCCCCAGCGUGGCCACCUGGCACUGGCUUUUCCCCAUCUGGGGAAGCUGGAAAUGCCCAAAGCCCGGGUCUUGGAUUCUGCUUUUUCUACUCAGAUAAAGACACUUGGAUCUGGGUCUGAAGUGCAGGCUGUGUUCCCACUCAUCCCAUCACUGAGGUCCUUGUGACCCCAGGGUCAGCUGUGUUCCCACUCAUCCCAUCGCAGAGCAUCUGUGACCCCAGGUCAUGCUGCUUAUUCUUCCCAGGCUGCAUAUCAAGGUAUACAUAUCAAUGUAUACCAUCAGGAUGAAAUAUCUUCCUAGAAGAAGUGAUAGAGAAAUAAAUGAGGAGAUGAUUUGAAAAGCACUUUGAACUAAGAAUUCUGAGCCUCUGGGCUGUCACUCUGGGCAAACCACAAAAUAUCAAAGAGCCGGUCUGUCAUCAGCCACCAAUCCAGUUAGCAGACACGACCGAGAACCCUGGAUUCAGAAGCAGCCGCCAACCCAGUUAGCAGACACGACCAAGCACCCUGGAUUCAGAGGCAGCCACCAAUCCAGUUAGCAGACACGACCAAGCACCCUGGAUUCACAGGCAGCCACCAAUCCAGUUAGCAGACACGACCAAGCACCCUGGAUUCACAGCCAGCCACGAAUCCAGUUAGCAGACACAACCAAGCACCCUGGAUUCAGAGGCAGCCACCAAUCCAGUUAGCACACAUGACCGAGCACCCUGGAUUCACAGGCAGCCACGAAUCCAGUGAGCAGACACACCAAGCACCCUGGAUUCAGAGGCAGCCGGUUUUUCAGAACCAGCUCUGUUGUUCACUAGCCUCCUGGCCUUAAUUAAGUUUCUUAUUUCCUGAGCUUGUGUUUCCAGGUAAGAUUCUCAAGAGACAAAGAAGAAUAAUGCUCCCUAAAAGCUGCCGCACACAUGCCCUGUGUGUGCCCGUGACAUGUCCCAAGCCCUGAUGGGGAGUGGCUCAUUUUGUACCACACAGCUGUCAUCCCCACUUCACAGAGGAAGAAACUCAGGGGGCUGAAAUACUUGCCUGAGACAUGGAAGCAGUCAGUGGCAGAACUGGGAGAUAACCGAGAAACUGAGUGGAAUGCCGCCUAAUCAAAGGACCCCUAUGGAGAAGGUCCUCAUGAAAAGGCAGCAGAUGCUCCUUUUUUAUAGCAAAAAUGUUAAUUCUUUCUAUUUUGGCUGAACUUUUCACAUCCCAAUUCCUCUCUGGAGCUGCUGACACACAAGCCCCAGGUGGCAGGGCGAGCUCUCUCCGCCUGCUUAUGUUUUUUUCUUGCUUGUGACCCAGAAAAAUUGCCAAAGUCAAGGAACAUUCUGUAAUGAGAUUUUACUAUGAAAGAGGAGAUUUACUCCCAUGAGUCUCAGAUGGCACAACUUGUUUGUCAGCUAAGACCGCUGCUUUCCAGUCCUAAUUCUGUUCUGGUAGAUGUUUUAAGUAUUUCAUUUUUGUUUUGUUUCUAGUGAGAAUGUAAUGUGAUAUGAGGCUAACCUCAAGCUGCAGAUGUAGAGAAUCACCUGGAAUUAUCACAGGGUGUUGCCCUGCGAGGAUCUGGGCACGCCAGGUGAUGAGUGGCAUGUGCAC